GGUUGAAAUCUGCAAGCGUAGGGUCUCUGGUCUUCUUACCUCUGCCAUGAACCUCAGAUCCAGUGCAGAUGCCUGAGGCCCCCAAACCCCAGAGACACCAAGCGACUGUGUAUCCUUGUCAUUCUAGAAUUUCCCAUCUCCUCUUGGUGGCAUCACCUGGAGAGGCACCCCUCCCCCUGCCCCCAGCACACCCCUGCCCGCCGGUCCCCAGACCACAGCAACCCCAGUGCCUGGCCCACCGGUGCCCGCUCCCCAGCCAUGGAGGGAGUGACAAGACAGUGAUUCUGAGUAGCUCACUUUCUUCCUGCCUUUCUCUCCUGCCAUCUGCCUCCCAGGGGACGUUCUCUUCCAGAUGGCUGAAGUCCACAGGCAGAUUCAGAAUCAAUUGGAAGAAAUGCUGAAGUCUUUUCACAACGAGCUGCUAACGCAGCUGGAGCAGAAGGUGGAGCUGGACUCCAGGUACCUGAGCGCUGCGCUGAAGAAAUACCAGACGGAGCAAAGGAGCAAAGGUGAUGCGUUGGACAAGUGCCAGGCCGAGCUGAAGAAACUCCGCAAGAAGAGCCAAGGGAGCAAAAACCCCCAGAAGUACUCGGACAAGGAGCUGCAGUACAUCGACGCCAUCGGCAGCAAGCAGGGGGAGCUGGAGAGCUACGUGUCCGACGGCUACAAGACUGCUCUCACUGAGGAGAGGAGGAGGUUCUGCUUCCUGGUGGAGAAGCAGUGUGCCGUGGCCAAGAACUCCGCCGCCUACCACUCCAAGGGCAAGGAGCUGCUGGCGCAGAAGCUGCCGCUGUGGCAGCAGGCCUGUGCCGACCCCAACAAGAUCCCAGACCGUGCCGUGCAGCUGAUGCAGCAGAUGGCCAGCAGCAAUGGGUCUAUACUCCCCAGCGGCCUGUCGGCCUCCAAGUCCAACCUGGUGAUCUCAGACCCCAUUCCGGGGGCCAAGCCCCUGCCGGUGCCCCCUGAGCUGGCCCCGUUUGUGGGGCGGCUGUCUGCCCAGGAGAACACGCCUGUCAUGAAUGGCGUCUCGGGCCCAGACAACGAGGACUACACCCCCUGGGCUGACCGCAAGGCCGCCCAGCCCAAGUCCACGUCUCCUCCGCAGUCUCAGAGCAAGCUGAGCGACUCCUACUCCAACACGCUUCCUGUGCGCAAGAGCGUGGCCCCCAAGAACAGCUACGCCACCACCGAGAACAAGACCCUGCCCCGCUCGAGCUCCAUGGCAGCCGGUCUGGAGCGCAACGGCCGCAUGCGGGUGAAGGCCAUUUUCUCCCACGCGGCUGGGGACAACAGCACCCUGCUGAGCUUCAAGGAGGGCGACUUCAUCACCCUGCUGGUGCCCGAGGCCCGCGACGGCUGGCAUUACGGCGAGAGCGAGAAGACCAAGAUGCGGGGCUGGUUUCCCUUCUCCUAUACCCGGGUCCUGGACGGCGACGGCGGUGACCGAUUGCACACGAGCCUGCAGCAGGGCAAGAGCAGCAGCACGGGCAACCUCCUGGACAAGGAAGACCUGGCCCUCCCGCCCCCCGACUAUGGCACAUCCUCCCGGGCCUUUCCCGCCCAGACGGCCGGCACUUUCAAGCAGAGGCCCUACAGCGUGGCCGUGCCCGCCUUCUCCCAGGGUUUGGAUGAUUACGGGGCGCGGGCCGUGAGCAGUGCCGAUGUGGAAGUGGCCAGAUUUUGAGCGGUCCCUGACUAGAGUUAUGUGAGUUCUGGAAAACUCUAGAGACGAGCGCUCCUGAAAUUGGGGGAUGGGAGAAAUGACUUUGACCCUGGCUCAACAGUGGGUGAGCUGGGCCACUCUCCUCCCCUGCAUCUGUCCCUCUUCUUCCGAGAUGCUUUGAGACACCUGCAUCUCCCGCCCCUACCUAUGCUGCCCUCGUGGUCCCUCUGAGCUGGUGGAGCCCAGCUGAUCUCACCCACUGGAGGUAUUGGAAGGGGGUGAAGGCUCAGGAGGCUCGUAUGGCCUCUGCCUAGAACCCCACCCCUGGAUGUAGGGCAGAGCCCCAGGGGCAUGGCGGGCGGGGGUGCACUCAUCCCUGGGAGCACACAGCACGGCGGCCGCAGGGUCUGCCUGCCCUGAUGAUUCUACCAGGGGCGGGGGUGUCACAAGCCACCUCUGGUUGGUUGAGGGACAUUGCUCAGCUUUGCCAGAGCUCACAGCCCUGGGAGGAGGGCCGGGGAGGAGAACGACUCAAGUGCAGAAGGGCCGACGUUCUGAAGUUGUGGCACGUUUUAAGAGGAAGACGUGGAGAAAGUUGAAAUCUAUGCUGUGACUGCUCUUCGCUCCUUCUCUGCUCCGGAGUCACCACAGGACACAAGCCACGCUUCAUGCUGACGGGGCUGUUAUCAGAACCACCCCCUUUCUUAUUCAAGAAGUGGAUUCAGAAGAUAACCGAAGGCGAUUCCACCAAAUCCCCAGUGAUGAAUGUUUCGUGAGCCUGGACCCGAAUGCUGCUCGGCUGCAGGGGUCCCACCUCAUCAGGCUGUGGGGGUCUGCAGAGGACUGGGUGGUGGGGACAGCCAUUCCUGGUGGGGGGGCCUGGCUCGUGCCUGCCUUCACCAUGCCGGGGACUUCAGGCCUGCCCCCCGGAGGGUGCAAAUCCAUUCCGUAUAAAAGCUACCGGCUGUCCCUGUGUCCCUGCUCAGGAGGGGGACAGAGCCCAGCCCCCAGUCCUCCACCUGAGUGCCUGGUGGCCCUGCCUGGGGAGGGGCCCUGGCGUGCUGACAGCACUGACUCGCGCAUACUCCAGCGUCUCCCAUUUGGGUCAAGAAGAGCUUGUUCUGUGUCUGGGUGGUCCGCUGUUGAUUGGCCUCGGCGUCCACCCCUGGGCAGUGACGGACGUCUGCAGGACAGCAGGAUCGAUCGGCAGUGCCUCAGGAUACUGAAUAUAAUCCCCUGUGCUAUACGGUAGGACCUUGUUGUUUAUCCUUUCUAUACAUAACAGUUUUCAUCUGCUAAUCCCAAACUCCCAAUCCACCCCUCCCCCACCCCUUCCUCCUUGGCAAACACAAGUCUGUUGUCUAUGAGUCUGUUUUGUAGGUAAAUUCAUUUGUAUAAUUUUUUAGAUUUUACAUAUAAGUGAUAUCAUAUGCUGUUUGUCAUUCUUAGUAUACUGAGAAUCUCUAGGUCUAUUCAUGUUGCUGCAGAUGGCAUUAUUUCAUUCUUUUUUAUGGCUGAGUAAUAUUCCAUUGUGUAUAUACAUCUUCUUUAUUCAUUUAUCUGUCGAUGGACACAUUUAGGCUGUUUCCUUGUCUUGGCUAUUGCGAAUAGUGCUUCUGUGAACAUAGGGGUGCACGUAUCUUUUUGAAUUAUAGUUACAUCUGGAUCGUAUGGCAACUCUAGUUUUGGGGGGAACCUCCAUACUGUUUUCCAUAGUGCCUGCACCAAUCUCCCACCAACAGUCUAGGGAGGUUCCCUUUUCUCCACACCCUCUCCAGCAUUUGUAAUUUGUAGACUUCUUAAUGAUGGCCAUUCUGACCAGUGUGAGGUAGUAGUACCUCAUUGUAGUUUUGAUUUGCAUUUCUCUAAUAAUUAGCAAUGUUGAACAUCUUUUCAUGUGCCUGUUGGCCUUCUGUAUGUCUUCUUUGGACAAAUGUCUAGUUAGGUCUUCUGCUCAUUUUUCGAUUGGGUUGUUUGGUUUUUUGUUGUUGAGAUGUAGGAGCUGUUUGUAUAUUUUUGAAAUUAAGCCCUUGUCAGUCGCAUCAUUUGCAAAUAUUGUGUCCCAAUCUGUAGAUUGUCUUUUUGUUUACGGUUUCCUUUGCUGUGCAAAAGCUUGUAAGUUUGAUUAGUGUCUUUUUGUUUACGGUUUCCUUUGCUGUGCAAAAGCUUAUAAGUUUGAUUAGGUCCCACUUGUUUAUUUUUGCUUUUGUUUUUAUUGCCUUGGGAGACCUAAGAAAACAUUGCUACGAUUUAUGUCAGAGAAUGUUUUGCCUAUGUUUUUCUUGUAGGAGUUUUAUGGUGUCAUGUCUUAUAUUUAAGUCUAUAAGCCAUUGUGAGUUUAUUUUUGUAUAUGGUUUGAGGGUGUGUUGUAACUUCAUUGAUUUACACAUGGCUGGUCACUGACCCUUUCUGAUGAGAAUGUAGGUGUGUCGGGACACACCCGGCUGGAACUCCCUUUUGCCCCCUGGCUCUGGUCAGCACAGGCGCCAUCCUCCCUUCUCUGGGUCCCUUCCCCUGCUGGGUCCCUGACUCUGGAUGGACAAACCUGCCCCGUUUCUAGCCCCACAAGACCCCCGGCCAUGACCCUGGCUGCAGACCGCCAAGGGCAUGGAGCCCUCCUCUAGGACCAGAGUCCAGUCAAGGCGGCCGCCCCCAUGGCUGCCCUGCAUCCUCCGUCCCCGGGCGGAUGACGCUGGUCACAGCAGAACCUCGGUUUCAGAACCUCCAGGCCGCCCCUGCCCGGGGCCAGUGGGGCCAAAGCACAUCUGCUCAGACCCAAGCCUGGGGGGCCAGAGAGGACCUGAAUGAGGGAGACUGAGGCCCCGCCGGCUGGAGGGCCUUUCAUCAGGUGCAGAUGUUCCGAGGCAGGGGUGGAACGGCUGUGGGUGCUGCAGCCAACUGCCAGGCAGCAUCUUGGAGACGCAGAAGCCACACGUUGCUCCAUCAGUCUCCUCUCACCAGUUCAUCCUUUGAACAACUGAGCCCGAAGUGCCUCAGUGUUUUAGAAAACGCCAGGUCCUCAGGCAAACACAGGGUUUUUUUUCCCACCCCACGUUCUAUCUUCCUGGGCACCUGGACAGAGCGCCCACCCAGCUCCUGUCGAUGCCCAGCCAUGUCAGAGGCCACUCCCGCCCCAGGUAACGGCUCCUGUUCAGGCCGAGCCCUCUGUGUCCCACGUGCCAUCCGUGCUGUCACCCUUGGGACUGCCUGACGUCCCCCGGCCUGCUCUCCUGUGCCGUCCCCGCCUGGGCAGGUCCUCGGAGCCCACCGAACCCGAGGAGGAGAGGCCUCCGUGAGCACGAGGCCAGGUGCCGGCCCCGCCCUGCACUCAUCUUGUUCCAUCGCAGCCCCUUGUCUGGAAUCCCUUCGCCAGCGUCCAGCUGAAGCCGACGGUGACCAAUGACAGGUCUGCCCCACUCCUCAGCUGACGGCCACGUCUGCACCCAC